rnacentral:rRNA from 1 species
CCUACGGGUGGCAGCAGUGAGGAAUAUUGGUCAAUGGUCGGGAGACUGAACCAGCCAAGCCGCGUGAGGGAUGAAGGUACAGAGUAUCGUAAACCUCUUUUGUCAGGGAACAAAGGCGGGGACGUGUCCCCGGAUGAGUGUACCUGAAGAAAAAGCAUCGGCUAACUCCGUGCCAGCAGCCGCGGUAAUACGGGGGAUGCGAGCGUUAUCCGGAUUUAUUGGGUUUAAAGGGUGCGCAGGCGGUCUGUUAAGUCCGCGGUAAAAGCCCGGGGCUCAACCCGGGCCCGCCGUUGAAACUGGCAGUCUCGAGUUGGAGAGAAGUAUGCGGAAGGCGCGGUGUAGCGGUGAAAUGCAGAGAUAUCGCGCAGAACUCCGAUUGCGAAGGCAGCAUGCCGGCUCCACACUGACGCUGAGGCACGAAAGCGUGGGUAUCGAACAGGAUUAGAUACCCCUGUAGUC